UACGGGGGGGCAAGCGUUGUUCGGAAUUACUGGGCGUAAAGGGCUCGUAGGCGGCCAACUCAGUCGGACGUGAAAUCCCUCGGCUUAACCGGGGAACUGCGUCCGAUACUGGAUGGCUUGAGUGUGGGAGAGGGAUGCGGAAUUCCAGGUGUAGCGGUGAAAUGCGUAGAUAUCUGGAGGAACACCGGUGGCGAAGGCGGCAUCCUGGACUACUACUGACGCUGAGGAGCGAAAGCCAGGGGAGGCAAACGGGA
rnacentral:rRNA from 1 species